rnacentral:rRNA from 1 species
GAAAUUUGGCAAAUGGGGGAAACCCUAAUCCAGCCAUCCGGCGUGUGCGAUGAGGGCCUUCGGGUUGAGAAGCAUUUUUGGCAGGGAAGAAAAGGCUCUGGCUAAUACCUGGAGCUGCUGACGGUCCCUGCCGAAUACGCACCGGAUAACUAAGGGCCAGCCGCGGCGGUAAUACGUAGGGUGCAAGCGUUCAGCGGAAUUACUGGGCGUAAAGCGUGCGCAGGCGGUUCGGCAAGAAGGAUGUGAAAUCCCAGGGCUUAACCUUGGAACUGCAUUCUUAACUGCCGGGCUAGAGUAUGUCAGAGGGGGGUAGAAUUCCGCGUGUAGCAGUGAAAUGCGUAGAGAUGCGGAGGAAUACCGAUGGCGAAGGCAGCCCCCUGGGAUAAUACUGACGCUCAUGCACGAAAGCGUGGGGAGCAAAC